ACGUAUGAGAUAAAAGUCAGUCGAGCGGUGAUAAUGGGUAGAUCGUAAAGACGCUGUAAAUACAUGCCUGUACGCUCGGCUUGCGCCAUCCAUGGCGCAAACGCUUU
rnacentral:ncRNA from 1 species